ACAAGGUUCAUCUAACACCAGCAAAAUUUGUAAAACUCCAGACAAAUUUCAUGCAAGAACAGAGGAGAACAUCCAUCAAAAUAAAAACAAUAAAUUCUCAAUAAAAAAUGUAUUUGGUUCACAGGCAUAAAAUGGCAAAAUCCUUGCAUGGCCAUUGCCAUUAUAUUCACUGAUGUCAAACCUGAAGUGCUCAAAUUAAUCAACUAUAUUAUGUGCUUGGAGACUAGCAAAUUCUCGUUUCCUGCUGAGGUAUAAACUGACAGUAAAAGGGCUAAGCCUAGCUUGCAAAUGACCAGCAAGGCCACCAACAACAAAUUAUCAUGAAUCUGGAGAAGACAGAGGAAGAGUUUCAGGCUUCUCAUAUUUUUGUUCAAGAAGUCACUACAAGCCUUUGUGGCUUUGUCCUUCUUACACAAUUUUUUCCACCUAAAUAUGUUAGAAAAAAACCUUCAAAAACAAGGCAAAACUCAAGUGUGUUUGUGUGUUUUUCAUUUUACAUUUUUAAUCUCAAGGUGUGAUAGCAUACUCUGUAGAUCUUCCAGCAGCUGAG
rnacentral:misc_RNA from 1 species